UGGGGAAUAUUGGACAAUGGGCGAAAGCCUGAUCCAGCCAUGCCGCGUGUGUGAAGAAGGUCUUCGGAUUGUAAAGCACUUUAAGUUGGGAGGAAGGGCAGUAAGCGAAUACCUUGCUGUUUUGACGUUACCGACAGAAUAAGCACCGGCUAACUCUGUGCCAGCAGCCGCGGUAAUACAGAGGGUGCAAGCGUUAAUCGGAAUUACUGGGCGUAAAGCGCGCGUAGGUGGUUCGUUAAGUUGAAUGUGAAAGCCCCGGGCUCAACCUGGGAACUGCAUCCAAAACUGGCGGGCUAGAGUAGGGCAGAGGGUGGUGGAAUUUCCUGGGUAGCGGUGAAAUGCGUAGAUAUAGGAAGGAACACCAGUGGCGAAGGCGACCACCUGGGCUCAUACUGACACUGAGGUGCGAAAGCGUGGGGAGCAAACAGG
rnacentral:rRNA from 1 species